rnacentral:tRNA from 1 species
GGCCCGUUGGUCAAGCGGUCAAGACACCGGCCUCUCACGCCGGUAACGGGGGUUCGAUUCCCCCACGGGUCACCA